UUGGAGGGCAAGUCUGGUGCCAGCAGCCGCGGUAAUUCCAGCUCCAAUAGCGUAUAUUAAAGUUGUUGCAGUUAAAAAGCUCGUAGUUGAAUUUCGGGGUCAGUAGGUUGGUCAUGCCACUGGUAUGUACUGAUCUUACUGAUUCCUCCUUCCUGAUGAACCGUAAUGCCAUUAAUUUGGUGUUGCGGGGAGACUGGACUGUUACUUUGAAAAAAUUAGAGUGUUUAAAGCAGGCUAACGCUUGAAUACAUUAGCAUGGAAUAAUGAAAUAGGACGUUCGAUCCUAUUUUGUUGGUUUCUAGGAUUGACGUAAUGAUUAAUAGGGAUAGUUGGGGGCAUUAGUAUUCAAUUGUCAGAGGUGAAAUUCUUGGAUUUAUUGAAGACUAACUACUGCGAAAGCAUUUGCCAAGGAUGUUUUCAUUAAUCAAGAACGAAAGUUAGGGGAUCGAAGACGAUCAGAUACCGUCGUAGUCUUAACCAUAAACUAUGCCGACUAGGGAUCGGAUGAUGUUAAUUUUUUAAUGACUCAUUCGGCGCCUUACGGGAAAC
rnacentral:rRNA from 1 species